rnacentral:rRNA from 1 species
UAAAAAUUUAAUUUUUGUUUAAAAAUUAAUUAAAUUUUACUGAUAAUAUACAAUUUAAAUUUAAAUAAUAAAAUUUAUAAGUAAUAUCUAUAUUUUAUUAAAUUUAAUGAAAGNUUAGAAUAAGGUAAGAAUGAUAAGUAUAGGACAAUUUAGUGCCAGCAUCAGCGGUUAGACUAAGUUUAUAAAUUAAUUUGGAUUUUAUUUAAUUACAAAAUUAAUUUUUUUAGNUUUUUAUAUAUAAUANAUAGUAUGGUGAAAUAUUAUUGUUUAAAANUAAGAAUUAUUUAUUAAUUUUAAAUUAAGAAAUUUUAUUAAAAGANCUAGGAUNUAGAUACCCUAUUAUGUUAAANCGUAUUAAAUAAAUAGAAGANNGAUUAAAUGAUAAGUCAUUAAAUUUAAAAGAUUUGGCGGUNACUUAUUAANUUAGAGGAACCUGUNAUAGUGAUUGAUAGUCNCACGAUNAAGAACUACUUAAAAUAAAAUUUAUGUAUUGCUGUUUUUAGUAUUUAAUUAAUUUAGAUUAAUACAAUUAAUAAUAAUUAAAUAAUUCNNAAGUCAAAAUAUAGUUUUUUUAAGANUUAAUAUGGGUUACAUUUAAAUAGAUUUAAAUAGUUGAAUUAAAAAAUUUAANUUUUUUUUAUGAAAAUGGAUUUAAAAGNUAAAAUUAAUAAAUUAAUUAAUNUUGAAUAUAAGAAUAAGUAUGNUACAAAUUNGCCCGUCACUUUCAAUAAUAUGGAAUAAGUCGUAACAAAGUUUAGGUNAUCGGNAAGAUGCUUAUUGUAAAUA